GAUGAACGCUGGCGGCGUGCCUAAUACAUGCAAGUCGAGCGAACAGAUGAGGAGCUUGCUCCUCUGCCGUUAGCGGCGGACGGGUGAGUAACACGUGGAUAACCUACCUAUAAGACUGGGAUAACUACGGGAAACCGGAGCUAAUAUCCGAUAAUAUAUUGAACCUCAUGGUUCAAUAGUGAAAGCCGGAUUUGCUGUCCCUAAUAGGUGGUACCACGCCGCAUUAGCUAGUUGGUAAGGUAACGGCUUACCAAGGCGACGAUGCGUAGCCGACCUGAGAGGAUGAUCGGCCACACUGGAACUGAGACACGGUCCAGACUCCUACGGGAGGCAGCAGUGGGGAAUCUUGCGCAAUGGGCGAAAGCCUGACGGAGCAACGCCGCGUGAGUGAUGAAGGUCUUCGGAUCGUAAAGCUCUUUUAGUAGGGAGGAACAACUGUGUAAGUAAAUAUGCCCGUCUUGACGGUACCUAAAGAGAAAGCCCCGGCUAACUACGUG
rnacentral:rRNA from 1 species